UAUCUUGGUAAAUGGUAACUCGCUUUAACCUCAUCUUUCCUCAGUGUACCUCUGCUUGUGUCCGUUUGUCUCUGCUUAAUUAGGUAUAAUCUCGGUUUGCCUCAGUUUGACUGCGUAAUUCAGGUAAACCUCAGCUCGCCUCAGUUUACCUUAGCCUGCCUCUGCUUAAUUAGGUUUGAUCUCAGUUUGCCUCAGUUUACCUCAUCUCAUUUCAGUACACCUGUUUAAUUCCGCUUGCCUCCGUUUAUUUCAACUUUCUUUCGUUUACUUCAGUUUACCUCAGCUUUCUUUAUCUCACCUCAGUGUGCUUCAGGCUACUUCCUCUUACCUUAGCUUGCCUCAACUUGACUCGGUUUAACCCCGGCUCGCCUCAGUUUACCUCAGCUUGCCUCCGCCGGGCUUUGAACCAGCCGGCACCUCAUUGGCCGCUUCCUCCUCCCAGCCCCGCCCCGCGUUCCGCCUGGUUUCCGUCGCGAAGGACGCGGCGUCGGUUGGUUGUCAAGAUGGCUGCGGCGGGGUCGCGGCCGCUACCUCCGCCGUCGCCCCGCGAGGUCGCCUCCCUCGCCGCUGCCAUCGCCACAGUCGCCGGGGCCGCUGCGAAGCUAGGACUGCUGCAGCCGAGCCUGCGACGCCCGUGACGCGGGGCCUUGGAGACGCGCGGCCCGGAGCGCCGAGGAGAGGACCAGGAAGGCCGAGCGGCCAUGCGGGCGGCACUUAGGUGAAGGAUGCUGGCGGGCAGGCCCGGAGCCCAGAGCGCAGGCGCGGGCCUGGGCGCCGGACCCCGGGACGCGCUUGGCGCCCGGGACAGCGGCGGGCGACCGCGACCCGGCGCCUACCUAGAUACGAAAAUCCAUCUCGAGAAAAAUUUAGAAGAAGAACGCCAGAUACUACUACAGCAACAAAAACUAUGCCGGAAUCGAGCACGUAAAUAUUUCAUGGAGUCAAACCGGAGAAGAAAAGCUUUUGAGGAGAAACGUCAAAAGCAAGAAGAAAGAGAAUAUCAAAUUAGAGAACAGAUCCUGCAGCAGAGGAAGCAAAAGUUUGAAGAAGUUACUGAAAAAUUCCAGCGUGCCCAUGUUCCUGUUUCCCAGAGAAGGAGAGCAGUUCCUCCAUUAGAAGAGGCCCUAAAACAAAUUCAAGAAUCCAACUUAAAACCAGAAGUAAACAUUUCUCUUUCCCACAGGCCAGCAACAAACUGGCGAGCUAUAGAUUCUGCCUUGCCUUCAGCGUUGUCAAAAAAUGAUUACAAGCAUCAAAAACCUCUCGUACGCAGAAUUAACCAUAAUAAAGAAAUGAAGGAAAACAACAUAGCAAGCCUGGCUACUAACAGAAAUGUGCUCCAGCUUAAACUGGAGGAGACACAGAAGCUCCUCGAGAAUCAGCAUUUAAGUGAUCUGCAAAAAUUUUGUGAUGAAGUUAAUCAGAUAGCCAAUUCUGAAACUCUCUCAAGUACAGACAGUCUUGAGGCUGGAGAGCGUGAAGAAAUAUACAUCACACUUAGUAUGGAGCCUUCCACAUCAACCCAGCAGAACUCUGUUCCCCUCAAGUCAGCAAAUCUACAGUCAGCUCAUUUAAACUGCUUUGAUGAAGACAAACUGUCAUUCUCUAAAACUCAGCAUAUAAACAAUUGGCUUACAAACUUAGAUGCUCAAAAUACUCAGCCUGUUGUAUCUUUUUCAGAUAUUUUAAUUAAAUCUAAUAUUCUGCCUUCAUGGGAAUGUUUGAAUAGUAAAGAACAAAAUCCACCUGCUUUGAAUAGAGCUGUAGGAAGAGCCACAAGAACUACUAGUGACUCAGUGGUCUUUGUGUGCAGCCCUUCUGUAGUUGCACUAGAUAAAAAAGAAAACACUGCUGAAAAUAAUACUGUGAGGACAAAUGAUCCUACUAAUGGAGCACUCCAAAGGGAGAGGCCGCCACGAACUGAGUCCCCAACAUUUCAAGUCAGUCGAGCCUGGACUACUCCAGAAUCUCUAACCCAGGAAGCAACUUUGUUUUCCAUCCAAGAGAGACCUUCCAAGUUAACUUGGGAAAGCAAAACUACUUCAAGUCCUGCUUCAUCUGCACCAGUUUUGUCGCCUGAUUCACAGUCAGGUGGGCCGUUAGCAGAGAACAACACACAAAUAAAAGAAAUUGACCCUGUGCAGUGUUCUGAUAAGUUAGAUGAAUUGAAAGAUAUCAAACAUGAAAGGAUAAUUCAUCCUAACUGUGAUAAAGAAAAGUCUUUACUUUCAGACAAUUUUCAGACCACCUGUGCACUUCAAAUUUCUAAUUCAAAUGAUACAAAACAAAAAGAGAGUGGCCCAUCAGCACCAUUGUGUGCCUGCCCUCCUGAUUGUGACCAGCACAGUGUGAAACACAACAUCCAUGAUCAAAAUGGGGUGCAGCUGCUUAAGAGUAUAUUAAAGAAAGAAUCCAGAUAUGAACAUAAUUAUUUGAGGGCAUUAGUUAUGAAUCAAGGUUUUAAGUUUAGACACCACAAGGCAGGAAGUAUUAGAGAUAGUAUUGAAUUAACAAAACAGAAAGGGAAAGGUACAGAAAUAUCAAAGACUAGUAAAAAACUGCGGUGGUUUGAUGAAAGUGCUAACAUAGAAAAUGGUGUAAAUAAUAGCCACCCGAUGAAGAACAGAGCAGGAAUGGCUCCACAGUGCUUCCAGCACUGUCACCCCAACAGUGUCACCUGCAACCUGACCAGUUUUCCUGAAUGUCCUGUACAUUCUGCUGGUGGAAAGAAAGCCAAGGCUGAUUCUGUCUCUGAGAAUGUUACUGAUUUAGGAGGAUAUGAAAUGGACAGUGUGCCUUUGAACUCUUCUGAAUCUUCAGGCUAUAGCUUUGCCAAACAAGCCUGGUCACCCUGCAGAAAGGAAGAGAGCAAAUCCCCUGUACAUGCUAGUGACUCUAAGAUCCAAAAGGCUAAGCCUCAGAGGGGAACAAAAUUCACGAGAAGAACAGGGUCUGCAAAGGUCCAGAAAAGCCUUGUACAUGUAAACAGAAAACCCACUGUUAGCCAGCCACAGUCUUCAGGCAAAGCCAACACACUGGCCCAAACUCAGGGUAAACUAAUUAUACCUCAUCCUCCAUCUAAACCACCAACAAACAUUAAAGGUGGUAAAAAUAUGCAAGCGUCUCCAUGCCAAUCAGCCAUACCUGAAUAUUCUCAAAAUGUUGUAACUCAGAGCACAGCAUCCGUGCUUCCAACAGAGUACCAUUUGAACCAGGGGACUCAAGAAAGUAGUCUCUCAUUCCCAGACACUUGUUCUAACCUCCCUGCUGUGAGCCCAGCUCUACCAACUCCUUGCUCUUCUGAGUGCCAAUCCUCAGCAAAAGUCAACUCAAAUGGCACAGCUUUCCAGAAAGAUGGAGCAGUGUAUUGUACCCAAAGAAGUCCUGUUUGUGAAGAAAGCUACCAAUCUUUGAUUCAUAGGAAUACUGAAGAAGAAUCAAUUCUCCCAUGGAGAAGAAGAAUCAAUGGACGCCAAAAUGAGAGGACCACUGAUUCUACUGUUACAAGAAGAAAGCAAAUUGUUGAAAAUAAAUGGAAAAAACUGUUAGAGCAGAAAAGGAAAACCUCUGGAUCAGUAGGAAUAAAGCACACCGAGCAAAUAACUCAUUUUGGACAAAAUGUCCCACCAAGUACAAGUGAACCAAUACAAGCUACAAGAGGUGUCAAGUCUGAAGAAGUUUCAGAUAGUACUUCUGAGGUUUUGGUGGCAGAAAACCUCAUGAAUUCUUCACUGCCUGAAGAUGAAAUUCUGACUGGCAUAAACAGCAAGCAGUUACAGAAACCAAAUCUGUCCCAAACGUCCACUAUCUGUGCCCUCUCAGCUGAGGAGCAGAAGAUCCUGCAGUCUCUCCAUCACCUCGAUGAAAGGCUGUACUGUGUGAAGAGACACCAUGAUCAAAACAAUUUACAGAAGAGUUUUGGGGGGACUCACAGUUCCAGAAGUUGCAGUCCAUGAUCGUCAGGAUGGGGUGCAUGGUACCAAGCACGCAGGCAUGGCACUGGAGCAGUAGCUAAAAUCUUACAUCUUGAUCCACAGGUACAAGGGAGAGAGAUCUGAGUGGGAAUGGUAUGGGCUUCUGAAACCUCAGUUUCUUAUCCCAGGUUCUACUUUACUGGUUCACGGUAGUAGAGGGGCAUAUGAGGGACAGCUAAUUCAAAGGAGGGUAUCAGGGAAUGCUUCUCUACAAAAGUGGCACAGUCAGGCCAAAGAGAGAAACAGACAUCACAGCAGCCAAAGCAGGGCGUGUGUGACUCAUGUCAGAGAGCAAGUACCAAGCCUGAAUUCAUCCUUCAAGUCUGUGCCUUGCCCCCAUCCUCUAGGCCAGACAUCUUAAGUGGUCGGGCUCCAUCACUGAGCAAAAACAGAAAGGAAGUGUCUUUUCCCCAGAGCUCUCAGUCAGGGAAAUGAAAGAAGUCAGUGUUGUCAGAGUCAGGAGAACAAGAGAGACAGUGUGGCACUAGUUGGGAUGAAGAGGUGGGCAGAGGCCAGAGUGCUAAUGUCCUGGCAUAAUUUCAGGAUUCUAAUACACCCAGCUGGGUGUGAAAGCUUGUUCCUAUAAUCCCAUCACUCAAAAUACUGAGACAGGGAAUUGCCAUGAGUUCAAAGCCAGUCUGGGGUACAUAGCAAGAUCCUAUCUCAAAAAACCAAACCAACAAAUAAGCAACAACACAAAAGAACAUGAUCCAAUGGGUUUGCCCUGCUGUUGCUGCUUGUUUUGAAGGCAGGAGAGUGUUCCCGUGACUUAACCCAGGGUCUUGUGCCUGCUAAACACAAGCUAUACUCAGUGAGCCACGCCCAAGCGCACAGGUUAUUGUGUAUGUGGUGACUCCUACUCUCCUGUGUGCUCCAUCUCCUUUCUACCGAAUCAGUUUUUAGAUGACCACUCUGCAACUAAUCACAACCCAGCAUGUGUUUCUUCAUAAAUAAUGCAACUCAGUAAACAGUAAUGGCUAGCACUUGAGUGCCUACUGAGUGCUGAGACUGGUCUAAGUACACUCCAUAAAUUACCCUCCAUGAACCCUCCAAACACACCAUCUCAAUUACCUGGCUGAAUUAGGGGCAAUGGAUUUACUUAGAUCAUAGGAGCCUGGAUGUAACCAAGCAUCGUAAGAAAUCUGUGUGGACAGAAGGGGACAGGGAGGAAGCAAGAGGUGAGGAAAAAAGUAAUCAACACCAAGUACAGCUUCUUAUGCCUUAGCAUCUUUGCCACACAAGGAUUUAAAGUAACAUUGACUGUGAGUUACAGGCUUAGAAAUACGUAGACCUAAAAACUCUAUUAAUUCUAGAGCCAAAAAGAUGGGCAAACACAUGUGAUCAUCUCUAGGGCUCUACAUGGGCUUGCUUGACAAAACAAGCUUUCUGAAGAACGUUUUAUUUCAAACACAACAAUCUCUCAAACAUACCAGCAAAAGCCCUUCCCUUUCUAGGAAAAAAAUAUAUAUAAAUAUUUUAAAAUGUCAAGAAUUUGUUAUCUGAGAUCUACAGAGACUCGUCUAGUUGGCUUCUCCCAACCUGCCCUGCCGUGGCCUGACCUUGCAACACAGAUGGAAAGGCUCACCUGUGGCCUAGAGCAGCUGCACCGCCUAGACUGGAAAACUAGAUAAAUAUCACACAUACAGGAGGCCCUGGGGAACAGCCGCCGCAUGAGCAUCGGCGACGGCGAUGUGGUCACAGCUCCAAACGAGAAAACAACACCUGGCGCUUUAAAGAAGAGGGACGACGGGUGAAGAGGCUGUGCCUAGCAGCUUGUCGCUAUUACCGAGGUAAGGUGUCAUGUGACCUGGAGCUGGCCUCCAAUUCUCUGAGUACCCAAGAAGUUCAACCUUGAACUUCUGAUCCCCCUGCCUUCACCUCCCAAGUUCUGGGAAUUUCAGGAUAGCAUCACCUGCCCUUCUAAAAGACAAUUCUCUCUGUGAAAUGCUAUCUGACACCAUGCCACACCCAAAAGCCCAUAUAAAGGCAGAAAAGGAGCCAGGCAUUGUGGUUCCCACCUAUAAUUCCAGGAAUCUGAGAGGUCAAGACAAGUGAGGCUAAAGCAAGAGAAUUGUCCCAAGUCUGAUGAUAGCCUGAGCUAUAUGGUGAAUUCAAGACCAGCCUGGGCAUGGUGGUGCAUGCUAUGUACAGCAAGACCAGCAAGACCCUGUUUCAAAACACCCUCUCCCAGAAACAGAAAACCAGGGAAGGAGAAAAGAAAAUGUCAAUUCAUUUCUGAAACUUCUCACCUUUCCGUCCCCAAGCUAUGACUAGCCCUCUUUGCGAUACAGUCUGCUUUUUAAAAGCCCCCAUAAGCCAGAGAGACAUUUCUCCUCUUGCUUCCUCUGUAGUUUGUAGCCUGGUGACUUUUAUGUCAACUUAAGUGUCUGGGAGGAGGAAACCUCAACUGAGAAAAUGCCUCUGGAAGACCUGCAGGGCAUUUUCUUAAUUAGGGAUUGAUGGGGAGAGGGCCCAGCCCUCUGGGUGGUGCCAUCCCUGGACUGGUGGUCCUCAGUUCUAUAAGAAAGCAGACCAAGAAAGCCAGUAAGCAGCACCCUUCCACAGCUUUUGCAUCAGCUCCUGCCUCCAGGCUCCUGCUCUGUUUGAGUUCCUGUCCUGACUUCCUUUAAUAAAGAAUAGUGUUAUGGAAAUAUAAGUAAAAUAAAUCCUUUCCUCACCAA